rnacentral:lncRNA from 1 species
CCCAGGUCCGCUCCGCGAGGGCGAGCGCGCGCCAGUCCCACUCGUGCGCCGCUCUUCAUGUCCCCGCGGUCGAAGACGGUCACAUACGCCCCCAAGAAAACGUCGCCGAGGAUCCACACAGGUACUGGAGGCGAAGCGAUGUCCAAGGCCCGGAAGCCGGACAAGCAGAGGCGGACGUCACCCUGAGCAAACUGCAAGGCGACAAGGCGGCAACUGGGUGUCCAGGCCGCAGGAACCACCAUUUCCCUGGGAGUCCGUGCUCUCUCCGCCCCCAACCCCGGGGACAAGAAAUGUUUCUGUGGCCCCUUCCGGCCCUAGUGAUGUCCAACUACCAGCUCCACCCUCUCAACUCCAGUCAUAUUACAUCACUGUGGCGUCAUUAUGACGGACACCUACCUGGAUGACGUAAUCCUGGGCCGUGAGAUUAAACCAGACCCCCCCAAUGAGGAGUGAGACUGCGGGGAGCUUUGGGAUUUCUGAGCACCGGAUGAUGUACUGGUGGAGGAGAGGAACAAGUGAAGAUGGGAGAUUCCUGCUCUGCUCAAAUCCCGUCCGUGGCUCCCCAGUGCCAUGGAGUAAUGUUCAUAUUGAGCACCUGGGUAUUCAGCACCGUGUGUGGACAGCCCUGUUGCCUAGGCUCCUCUCAUCUAGUCCCAAACAAAACUGCAUUAUCAUCUCCCCCAACAACCCCCCCCCCACUCCCACCCCUACUUCACCAUCCACUGAGCCACUUAGCAUAGACACUUGGGAAGUAUCUUUGCUUCCUCCCACCACUCUCUGGCAUGUCACUUAAGAAGCCCAGUCCCCUCUGUCCUGGAUACGCUCUAGCUACCUGCUUCCCAUCCUCAGGCCGCAGUGUUCGCCAUGGAAUUGCCAUCAUCUUCCCCAGGACACACCCACCAGAGACUGGGACCUCACCUCCCCAGCCAGCAAGGGGAUUCCCCCAAUGGCUGCAUGCAGGGCCCGGAUCUCCUCAGUGGGUCCUACGAUGACAGGUGUGCCUGUAUCCAGGAUGGCAGCACAGCCCUGGGCACAGAGAGUCAGCCGUGAGCCCACCUUCACACUGAGGGGGAAGGAAGCAGUCAUUAGAGGCAGGGUCCUAGGAGUCCAGGCCUCCAGCUCCAGACCCAGGAGACCAAGUCCCUCACCGCUCCAUGUGGAUCUGCCAGUAGGCGGGGACUGUGACUGGCACGAAGAAGCCCUCGGAUGGUGGCCCUUGCAUGCUUCAGUUCAUGAUGUUGGAGACUAUUUCCCCACCCUUGCGGAAAAACCUUCUCUCUGUGCCAUGCAGCUACUGCCAGGGAUGGAGGAUGGCGGGAAUUGGCAACUAAAGACUGUCCUCCUACCCUCUUCAGUGUGUCCUUCAGCAAUAUGAAGUUAAAACCAGGUAUUGUAAAUGCUUACCUGAUUUUUAGUUCGUAUGAAGGUGCUUUUUUCCUGUAGAUUGUUGUUAAAUGCGGUAUUCCUGAAGAUGAAAUGAUUGGUGGAAACUUAUAUUUGGCCAUCUUGCUCCAGCCCCUCUCUAGACAUUCUCUUACUGUUUUAUUUGGAAAAUACUGAAACAGACAUACACACACACAAAUAAAAAUCACCCAUAGCCCCAUCAUCUCUAAAAUGUAUAAAAAUAAUUUGCACUGUCUCUCUGUUCGCCAGUCCCUCUUCUCCCAGAUUAAGCUUCUCAAUUUUUAACAAGCAUAAGAAAUCUAGUUAAAAUGCAGAUUCCUGGGCACCACCCUCAGCUAUUCUAGUUUGGGAGGCCUAGGAUGAGACCCAAGAAUCUGCAUUUUUAAACAAAUUCACUGAUCGGCUGGGCGCAGUGGCUCACACCUGUAAUCCCAGCACUUUGGGAGGCCAAGGCAGGCGGAUCAUGAGAUCAGGAGUUCAAGACCAGCCUGGCCAACUUAGUGAAACCCCAUCUCUACUAAAAAUACAAAAAAUUACCCAGGUGUGGUAGCGGGCACCUGUAAUCCCAGCUACUCAGGAGGAUGAGGCAGGAGAAUUGCGUGAACCCGGGAGGAGGAAGUUGCAGUGAGCCGAGAUCUCGCGACUGCACUCCAGUCCGGGCGACAGUGUGAGACUCUGUCUCAAAAUAAAUAAAUAAAUAAAUAAAUAAAUAAAUAAAUAAAUAAAUACAAUAAAAUACAAUAAAAAAUUUUCACUGAUCAUGGAGCCACAAAGAUGUCUGAGAAACCCUAUUCAAGCUCUUUGGCUUUCUAGGAUAGAUUUGCAUGUCAAUAUCAGCAUGCACAUUUUUUUUUGUUUUUUGUUUUUGGUAUUUGCUUGUUUGUUUUAGUAAAUAAAAGCUGCUGUAAUUAUUGAUCUGCAAGUGAUUGUUUUUAACUUAACCAUAUUCCCUGGACUUCAGAAAAAAAUUGACAUAACUUAUCUACAGUAAAACACAUGAGUCUGAGGCCAGGCGUGGUGGCUCAGGCCUGUAAUCCCAGCACUUUCGGAGGCUGAGGCGGGCAGAUCGCUUGAGGUCAGGAGUUCAAGACCAGCCUGUCCAACAUGGUGAAACCCCAUCUCUACAAAAAUACAAAAAUUAGCUGGGCGUGAUGGUGUGCGCCUGUAAUCCCAGCUGCUUGGGAGGCUGACGCAGGAGAAAUGCUUGCAGAGGCAGAGGUUGCAGUGAGCAGAGAUCAUGCCACUGCACUCCAGCCUGAGCAACAGAGCGAGACUCCGUCUCAAAAAAAACAAAACAAACGCCAGGCGUGGUGGCUCAUGCCUGUAAUCCCAGCACUUUGAGAGGCUGAGGCGGGCAGAUCACCUGAGGUCGAGAGUUCGAGACCAGCCUGACCAACAUGGAGAAACCCCAUCUAUACUAAAAAUACAAAAUUAGCCGGGCAUGGUGACACAUGCCUGUAGUCCCAGCUACUCGGGAGGCUGAGGCAGGAGAAUCACUUGAACCUAGGAGGCAGAGGUUGAAGUGAGCCGAGAUCGCACCAUUGCACUCCGGCCUGGGCAACAAGAGUGAAACUCCGUCUCAAAAAAAAAAAAAAGUAAAACUUAGCCAGGCAUGGUGCCAUGUACCUGUGGUCCCAGCUGCUCUGUAGGCUGAGGUGGGAGGAUUGCUUGAGCCCAGCAGCUUGCAGAUGCAGUUAGCAGUGAUUGUGCUACUGCACUCCAGCCUGGGUGAUGGAGCAGAAAAUAAACUAAUAAUCUGGUUCCCAAAUGUCAAUAGUGUCAAGGUUGAGAAACCUUGCUGUAUUCAUUCCUCAGCCCAUCUCAUUUUCUUGAUUUCAAAAUAAGUUGCAGACAACAGUAUUCUUCAGUGCAUAUACUUCACAUACCCAUUCUUUUAAACAGGUUUUAAACAGCUACUUAGUGUUUCAGAAUACAAAUGUAACGCUACUUCCAGAACUGAUUCUCUACAUAGAUUGCUCCCCGUCCUUUUUUUUUUUUUUUUUUUU